rnacentral:rRNA from 1 species
UACGGAGGGGGCUAGCGUUGUUCGGAAUUACUGGGCGUAAAGUGCACGUAGGCGGAUUGCUAAGUCAGGGGUGAAAUCCUGGAGCUCAACUCCAGAACUGCCUUUGAUACUGGCGAUCUUGAGUCCGGGAGAGGUGAGUGGAACUGCGAGUGUAGAGGUGAAAUUCGUAGAUAUUCGCAAGAACACCAGUGGCGAAGGCGGCUCACUGGCCCGGUACUGACGCUGAGGUGCGAAAGCGUGGGGAGCAAACAGG